AUGGGGAUGGCGAUGAGGCCGCCGGCGCUGGUCGACGACGCCAUGUGCGAGGUCUUCACGCGCCUGCCGGCGGACGACCCCAGGAGCCUUGUCCGCGCCGCCGCCGUCUGCAGGAGCUGGCGCGCCAUCCUCACCGACCCCGGCUUCGCCCGCGGCUACCGCGCGUUCCACGGUGCGGCGCCCAUGCUGGGCUUCCUCCACAACGCGUACCGCAACGGCAACCGCUUCGUCCCCACCUCGACCUUCCGGCGGCGGGCUUCCCAGGACCGCCCAGACUGCCAGGUCCUCGACUCCCGGCACGGCCUCGUCCUACUCUACGCCCCUGCGUACGAACUCCCCUUUGACGCCUGCGACCUCGUCGCCAACAAGUUGUGGGAAAUCGAAGCCUUCCCCAAGUGCCGCGACACCAUGCACUGGGAGGACAUCUACGAGGGCGUGCUACACUGCAAUGCCACGGUGCUCUGCGCCAGAGACCAGUGCGACCACCUCGACUGCCAUGGCGGCAGCCCUUUCCUGGUGGCCUUGGUGGGCUCUGCGGACGAAGGAGGCAUCGCCCUCGCCACCGCCUACUCGUCGGAGACUCGUGAGUGGAGCGACAAGAUCUCCGUUGGGAGCCCGGGCUUGCAGAUCGACGACGGAGGGCACACUGCUGUGGUGGGAAACAAGGUCUAUGUCCCCAGCUAUGAGUGUGACAGUGUGGUGGAGUACAACAUUCGUGAGCAACGACUAUCUGUGAUCAAUGUGCCAGAGAGCCUGGACGAGGCACACCUUGACCUCAUAGGCGCGGAGGACGGCAUGCUGCUGUUUGCGUCCGUGCUCAAGUCUAGACUCUAUCUGUGGUCAAUGGAGGCUGGUCCUAGGCAUUCCGCCGGGUGCUGGCCUCUGAUGAAGCGGCACGCGCGGUUGUCGGUGCCGAAGACGAAGGUGGUGAUAUUUCAGAUGAGGAAGAAUGCUUAG
rnacentral:rRNA from 1 species